rnacentral:lncRNA from 1 species
GUAUGCUGGCCCCAAUGUUGAUGGACAUGAUUAGCUUUGGCUCCAGACACCAUUGGUGUAUUAGGCAGAAAUCGGUGACAUUACAAAGAUAA